AUUGAACGCUGGCGGCAGGCCUAACACAUGCAAGUCGAACGAGUGGCGGACGGGUGAGUAAUGUCUGGGAAACUGCCUGAUGGAGGGGGAUAACUACUGGAAAAGGUAGAUAAUACCGCAUACCAUCGGAUGAGCCACGAUGGGAUUAGCUAGUAGGGGGGGUAACGGCUCACCUAGGCGAAGAGCCCUAGCUGGUCUGAGAGGAUUACCAGCCACACUGGAACUGAGACACGGUCCAGACUCCUACGGGAGGCAGCCGGGGGGAACAUUGCACAAUGGGCGCAAGCCUGAUGCAGCCAUGCCGCGUGUAUGAAGAAGGCCUUCGGGUUGUAAAGUACUUUCAGCGGGGAGGCGUUACCCGCAGAAGAAGCACCGGCUAACUCCGUGCCAGCCGCCGCGGUAAUUC
rnacentral:rRNA from 1 species